UACGUAGGGCGCAAGCGUUUAUCCGGAAUUAUUGGGCGUAAAGAGCUCGUAGGCGGUUUGUCGCGUCUGCCGUGAAAGUCCGGGGCUCAACUCCGGAUCUGCGGUGGGUACGGGCAGACUAGAGUGAUGUAGGGGAGACUGGAAUUCCUGGUGUAGCGGUGAAAUGCGCAGAUAUCAGGAGGAACACCGGUGGCGAAGGCGGAUCUCUGGGCCUGUUCUGACGCUGAGGCGCGAAAGCUAGGGGAGCGAACAGG
rnacentral:rRNA from 1 species